AAAAAAAAAAAAUAAACAUCACGGUAAAACGAAAACAUUCCUCGUUCCGUUCAGAAUCUGAAACUACUUUAUUAUGUAAACAUUUUCAUUUUCGUCGACCGCUAAAUUGGGUAAUUCGCGAAAAACGUCGCGUUUUCAAGCAUCCGGCCGAACAAUAAUUUUGUUCCCGAAACCGAAAUGAAAACUCGAAAACCGUCUUGAAUAUUGUUUGUACCAAUCGUUUAGUCGAAAUAACGCGGGC